UGGCAUGUGGUCUCCGUGCUCCAGUGCCCGGGGAGCUGGCUCGGAGCAGCGCUGGAGCACGCUCCCAGGCACGCGCUCGCCUUCCAUGGAUUCAGCAGGCUGCUUGCUCCCGUCUGUCUGUCAGAGCUCGUGGGCUUCUCUGGGCAGCCCCUGCCAGGACGGCAUGAAUGAAACACUGUUUGCACUAGGUUUGGUGUCUCGGUGUUCAGAGUGCUGUGGGGAGUGAAUAUGCUGGGUGGGAAGCAGUCCCAGCCCAAAGAUUGAGCAGCCAGGGGAGAGACUGCAAGAGGAGACCAAGACUACCAAGCUCCUCUUUGCAAACCAUCACUGUGCAGGCGCUGGGGUUGUUUGGAAGAGGAAGCAUUGCCAUGGGCUCCUGGAGAAGUUGCCAUGCUGUUGUGCUCAUAUCAG